GGCUUAGAGUUUGAUCAUGGCUCAGGAUAAACGCUGGCGGCGCACAUAAGACAUGCAAGUCGAACGGACUUAAUCGAUUCUUUUAGAUUCGAAGCGGUUAGUGGCGGACUGGUGAGUAACACGUAAGCAACCUGCCUAUUAGAGGGGAAUAACAGUGAGAAAUCACUGCUAAAACCGCAUAUGCCGUGAACAUCGCAUGAUGAAAACGGGAAAAGAGCAAUCUGCUAAUAGAUGGGCUUGCGUCUGAUUAGCUAGUUGGUGUGGUAAAGGCAUACCAAGGCAACGAUCAGUAGCCGGACUGAGAGGUUGAACGGCCACAUUGGGACUGAGAUACGGCCCAGACUCCUACGGGAGGCAGCAGUCGGGAAUAUUGCGCAAUGGAGGAAACUCUGACGCAGUGACGCCGCGUAUGGGAAGAAGGUUUUCGAAUUGUAAACCAUUUUAGACAAGGAAGAAACAAGACAGUACUUGUAGAAUAAGCUCCGGCUAACUACGUGCCAGCAGCCGCGGUAAUACGUAGGGAGCAAGAGUUAUCCGGAUUUAUUGGGUGUAAAGGGUGCGUAGACGGGAAGGUAAGUUAGUUGUGAAAUCCCUCGGCUCAACUGAGGAACUGCGACUAAAACUGCUUUUUUUGAGUGCUGGAGAGGAAAGUG
rnacentral:rRNA from 1 species